UUAAAGAUUCCACAUAACGGUUCACUAUUGGGUAUCUCUAUCAAACACCUCUGCCUAUAAAUAGUUUAACGGUUUCCGCCCAAGGUGGAGAACUCUGGGGAUUUCAGAGGACAGACACCUGUGUUCGUCACCAGAGAGAUUUGGGAACUAGAUCAAUUCCCAAUAAACUCCCCGUCAUCGUAAAAUAUUGAUGUAAAAAAGUCUUGCUAGCCCGACAGUUCGUUCCGGCGCCACGUCCGUCAUUACUCGGCUGUAACCUGAACGCGUGUACUCAACUCUGUAACCGAAGCUGUAAUGGAACAAAGGCUCGCCUGCGUGGUCAUCACUAUCUAGGUGACGUUCAACACGCCAUUGGGAAAUUCUUAGUCGCCAUGUGCCUUCUCUAACUGUGAAACCACUGAGUGAAACAAGAUGGGAAAGUUGAAUUGAUGCCUUGAAGUCUCUUUGCUAUGAGCUUGGCAAUAUCUGUGAUGUACUAACUGAAUUUUCUGAUGAUACUACCCUCACAGGAUCAUCUGGCAAUAUGACAUGUGCUGAUGCAGAAGCUCUUGCAAAUGGCCUUUCCAAGUUCCAACAACUGAAACAAACCAAAAAGUUUCUGGAGGAAUUCAGGAGUGAUAAAGAGUUUGAAAAGACACUGGUAGAUGCUCGUGAGCUUGCUGAAGAGUUAGAGCUACCAACAAACUUUCAACCAGAACCAGUACGCAUUCGAAGAAAGAAGCAGCAGUUCACAUAUGAAGCAAAAGAUGAGUCAGUUCAGGACCCAAAACAAAAAUUUAAAUAAACUUCUAUUUUGCAGUCCUUGAUACUGCAAUACAAUUGGUUAAAGAGCGAUUUGAACAAACACAGCAGCUUGAUUCAGUCUUUGGUUUCCUCUACAAUAUCCACAGUUUACAAAAUAAGAUCUCAAAACAGAUAAUGGAACAUUGCUUGAAGCUGGAGUCGGCAUUACAGCAUGGAGAUUCUAAAGAUAUUGAUGCUGCAGAUUUGUGCAGUGACCUGCAGGCUAUUUCAUGAUGACUUCCACCUUACACCAUCUUACACCUCAGGAUGUACUGAAGUUUAUUAUUAAACAUAAACUGACAGACAGUUUUCCCAACGUCUUCAUUGCUCUCCGCAUUUUCUUGACUCUCCCAGUUUUUGUUGCUAGCGGAGAGUGUAGCUUCUCAAAGCUAAAAUUGAUAAAGACAUACCUUUGUUCUUCUGUGCUGCAAGAGAGACUUGUUGGACUGGCCACCAUGUCAAUAGUGCAUGAAAUAGCCAGGAAGCUUUUUCUUAAAAACAUUUUUCUGAAUUUGGAAAACUGAAAGCACAAAAAGCAAAGUUCUAAUUUUUUACACAAAUGUUCAUGAGGAUUUUUUUAAAAACUGUACAUGUAUUAUAAUAAAUUCUAUUAGAGUUUUUGCAGUAUCAUUGUGUUAGGGUUAAUGAAAAGUGUGAAACAAUCAAUAA